ensembl:lncRNA
GGGCAAUAAAGUCUAUGAUAAAUAAAUAAACAAAUAAAUAAAUAGACGUGACUCUCUAGGUCGCCAGCCUUUACACCUGCUUACACACACACACGAUUGACGUGAACGUCCUUCUGAUCCCGCCUGAAAAGUGGAGGCAGUGGCCCCAACAUCUCCCUCACGUCGGAUUCAAACGCAAAGUGGACCUCGAAAACAAGCCGAGAAGAGGAAGCGUAGUGAGGGUAACUCCUCUGAUUCCUCUUCCUCUCCAAGCUCGGAGAAUGGAAAGAAGAAGAAGAAGAUGAAGAAGUCAAAGAAGAAGAAGGGAAAGAAAGUAACAACGGAGAGAGGAAACAAAAAGAUCAGACGGAGCCGUGUUUCAAGGGCACGUGGUCCAGAUGAGGUAAUUGCACGUUACCGGAAAGUGUUGAAGGUCUACAAGAAGAAGAAUACCGUCACUGCUGCUUGCAGAAUAGUGGGAGUGAAUUGCAAUACAAUUGCCUUGAAUGCACCAAUUGCAGAGCUUUCCAUUGCUGCACCUGAAAAGUUUGCGGAGUUUAAAGAUCAGCAUACAACAAAGCACAGGUUUUGUAG